rnacentral:rRNA from 1 species
GUGCCAGCAGCCGCGGUAAUACGUAGGGUCCAAGCGUUAUCCGGAUUUAUUGGGCGUAAAGAGCUCGUAGGCGGCUCGUCGCGUCCGGUGUGAAAGUCCAUCGCUCAACGGUGGAUUCGCGCCGGGUACGGGCGGGCUGGAGUGCGGUAGGGGAGACUGGAAUUCCCGGUGUAACGGUGGAAUGUGUAGAUAUCGGGAAGAACACCAAUGGCGAAGGCAGGUCUCUGGGCCGUUACUGACGCUGAGGAGCGAAAGCGUGGGGAGCGAACAGGAUUAGAUACCCUGGUAGUCCACGCCGUAAACGGUGGAUGCUGGAUGUGGGGCCCGUUCCACGGGUUCCGUGUCGGAGCUAACGCGUUAAGCAUCCCGCCUGGGGAGUACGGCCGCAAGGCUAAAACUCAAAGAAUUGACGGGGGCCCGCACAAGUGGUGGAGCAUGUGGUUUAA